rnacentral:precursor_RNA from 1 species
CGUUUCUUCAGCUCAUAUAAGGUAAAAGGCAGCGAGGCCUCGGUGGCCAGAGAGCCACGGGCAAGGGGCUGAGCUGAGGGGGGUUCCAGUGCCAGUUGCUUAAAAAUGCCCCUGUAGCACCAAGAGGUGCCAGACCCAAGUGAACUUAGUUGAGAAGCAAUAACACCCACAACCACACCCCAAAUAGACUGGGCCUCCACCUCCGAAGAUUCAUCCCUGGACCAGACACCAGUCAAGGCAAGAGUGAUGGCUGGUAGGAUUCCUCCUACACUGGAGAAGAGCCCCAGAGAGGAACCUUCCUGAGAAGCCGAAAAGGGACAGCAACAGCCGCCCAGCUCCCAGAACUCGUCCCCUCCUCUCACCCCUCCCGGGAGCUUCCCAACGGACAGAAGGGAGAGAUCCCCUUGCCUGGAGACAUCUUCUGAAGACAUGGGAAAAGGAGACGAGGCGGGCUACUCCCUGGCAGCAGGCCUUCAAGCUGUUGACAACCAGUACCAAGAAGAGUGCCAGCCCUGAGGAAAGGCUGCCUACCCUCUUCAGAAAACCCUGAAGGUAUGUAUCAUCCAUCACCAAGGCCACCGCAGUCACCACGAAGCAAAGGUUAUCUGGGGACCCUGGGGGAGGGGGGUGUCUUAGCAAGAGCAGGGUGAGUAGGUGGUUUGGGGGUCAGGGGUGUUCUGUUCACCCCGAAGUUCCCACACAAGCCGUGGCCACAGAAGAUGGUCACCACGUGUCAUCUUUUGUCUGUAGUCACACACACACACACACUCGUGCACACACUCAUGACCCUUCCAACUAUCCUAAACUGUCCCUAGUCCAUUUGGCUGAGUCAGUGGAAGAGGUAACUGUCACAUAGUUCCAUAGCCCUCGUUUCUGAUGUGGCCUCGAGUCUCCAGAGACCAGGCAGUCCCCAGGGGCUAUGCUCCUAGCAAGCCUCCAGAAGACAUUUCUGAAGAGAGGACCCCCCCACACACACACACACACACACUUCUGCUCACACUUGGAGGCUGUUGCUGACCCACUCAGGACGGCAGACUUGCUGAUGAUAGCAACACCACCCUCCGCCCUCUGGCUCUUGGCACUUCCAGCACCAUGUCACUUGUGACCCAAUGAGUUAGCAGACAGGCAGCCCUGGGUUGAAAGAGCUUAAGACACUGACCUUAGGCCACACUCAGGAACUGUGACAGUAUCCGGCCAAUGCUAACAAUUUCCACCAUCCUCCUAUGCUCUGCCCACCAGUCCUGCCUGCCUCAGGCUGCCCCCAUCCCAGUGGCUUUCCCAUAGUGUGUGUGGGGGGAGGGGGUGGAUAUCACCUUCCUCUCUAUGUUCUGUGACAGUAAUAAAGUACUGGACUUUUAAAAAAAAAAAAAAAAAAAAAAAA